CCGGAUGCUUCCAGAAUGACUCUCUACACUGCCCUCUGCCCUGCCUGGAGAAUCAGCCCGAUGCCUACAUAUACACGGACACAACACUGACCAAGGUUCUCCUCUUCAUCAUCCUGAUUACUCCAGCCUACGAAUCUCAGAAAGACCGAGGCUACGACUUUGCCUUAAAGGCCUAUCCAUACUACAUGUCUACGCACCAGAAAUGAGGGGGCCAAGACUCGUCCGUCAUUUUUGACAGAAGGCUCCAUCACAGUCCAUCACGACGUGCGGCGUGAGGGUGCAUAGUGUCGGAGAUAAGCAUCUGUUCAUCUAAACCUGCAAGACAGCACCUAGCUUGACACAGGAAGCAAUGAGUUGGAGACUUAGUGGAAGAAAGAACAAAGAGGGAGAUGGUAGAGGAUAAGAAAGACACAGAAAAGAUGGGAGAAAUGGUGGAACGUGGAAGACAUGAAAGUAGAGGGGCAGCCUAAGAUAGGGAUAAGGUAAGAUAAACUGCAUUUGCUGUUACUGAAAAAUGAAUUGUUUUUAAAAACCAAACAGGGCUAUAAAAGACACUGAAAGUUACAUUAUGCCAGAUGCUGUACUAAGCACCUUUGACAGGACCCUAUAAUUGACAUGAUCCCUGCUAUGAAGGAGCUUAUAAUAUAGGAGGGGGGCAAACCCUAAAAUAAAGUGCUGUAGGGAAGAGGAUUAGUAGGAAGUUGUAAAUCCCCAAGUACUUAGGUGAUACAGCCAAAGUGGCAAUAGAAAGACUGUAAACGUGGAGAUAGUGAUUAUUAAGGGAAGUCUUCUGGAGAGGUGACUUCAGAAAGGGGAAGAGCAAGAGUCUGUCAGAA